rnacentral:rRNA from 1 species
GUCGGUCCCAAGGGUUGGGCUGUUCGCCCAUUAAAGCGGUACGCGAGCUGGGUUCAGAACGUCGUGAGACAGUUCGGUCCCUAUCCGUCGCGGGCGCAGGAAAUUUGAGAGGAGCUGUCCUUAGUACGAGAGGACCGGGAUGGACGCACCGCUGGUGUACCAGUUGUUCUGCCAAGGGCAUCGCUGGGUAGCUAUGUGCGGACGGGAUAAGUGCUGAAAGCAUCUAAGCAUGAAGCCCCCCUCAAGAUGAGAUUUCCCAUUCCUAUAAGGAAGUAAGAUCCCUGAAAGAUGAUCAGGUUGAUAGGUCUGAGGUGGAAGUGUGGCGACACAUGGAGCUGACAGAUACUAAUCGAUCGAGGACUUAACCUAAA